rnacentral:tRNA from 1 species
GGGCCAUUAGCUCAAUGGUUAGAGCCCCCGGCUCAUAACCGGUUGGUUCGGGGUUCGAGUCCCUGAUGGCCCACCA